GCCUCAGCCUCCCGAGUAGCUGGGAUUACAGGCAUGUGCCGCCACACCUGGCUAAUUUUGUAUUUUUAGUAGAGACGGGGUUUCUCCAUGUUGGUCAGGCUGGUCUCGAACUCCCGAUCUCAGGUGGUCUGCCUGCCUUGGCCUCCCAAAGUGCUGGGAUUACAGGUGUGAGCCACCAUGCCCGGCCGAACAGCAGUCUUAAAAAACUCUCAGGCCUGAGAAAAAGCGUGAUGGCAAUUAAAAUUAUGUUUUGAACAAACGAUAAUUAAAAUAUUACAUGUACAAACGUUGGAAUGCAGUUAAAGCCAUGCUUAGAGGGACAAUUAUGGCCUGAAUGCAUAUGUUAGAAUUGAGGAGAGAUUAAAAAUAAAUGAUCCAGGGAAUUGUUUCUCUCUUUAUUGCUCCGGUUUGAAAGUUGUACUGGGGAGUGUAACUUUACAGAGUGUGAAGUUAUGCUAUUUUUGCAUCCUGCCUGAUCUACGUUUAACAUUUUUGCGUGGCAAAGUGUUACAUCCAUCACUGCGGAAGUCCUCAGCUAAUUUGACAUGUCAACGGCAUUUAACAUGGUUGUUCACCCUUCAUGCUUGUAAUUCUUUUUUUGUAACUCUCUGUUUGCUUGGUUUCCAGGCAGUGGGGAGCAGGACAAACUCAUAAUAGUUUGCAAGAGUUGACUAUGUGCAAAGCUCCUGACUCCCUGUUCAGUGACGUCAUGUUGGUAGCCUGAAAUGGACCACAGUGGGAGUUAUUUACACCAUGGAAACUGGAAAACUCUACAAAUCAAUGCGUUUAUUUCUUUAUUUUCAGAGGGCAGGUUUAUCAGCACACGCUGUAUCUCCUCUCCUUUGCUGGUAUCUCUGAAUCCACCUUUAAAGCUGGUCCUUUCUCAUCUCUGGGCUGCUGGAAUUUGGAGGGCCCUGGGACUCAGUCCUCCAACUUUUUCUAUCUGCCUGCUCCCUUGGUGACCUCACCUCAGUCUCAUGUCUUUAAGCACCAUCUUCACACUGAUGACUUCCAAAUGGAUUAUCUUCAGCCCCAAUUUCUCCCCUGACUCCAGGCUCAUAAAUCCAACUGCCGACUCCAGCAUUGUCAGGUUAGAUUUGCAGUGCCUGCUUUGGCCUGAAUGAUGGGAAGGAUGGAAUUGCUGUCAACCAAGGUAGGAGAUCUGAGGGAGGAGCAGGUUGGGAAGGUUGGGGAGAGAAGCAGCUGUCUCCCCCAGAGAUGUCAAAAUACACGGAGGCAGUAAGGUUUAAGUAUAUGAUUUAAAGUUGAAAGUGUGGGAAGGGUGCUUACAAGGGUUUCAGGUGGGAUAUCAGUGGGCAGUGAUACUAGUUUAAAUGUGUCUUAGCAUAAGAUUUAAAGAAUGAUAGUGAAGUAAAUGCUUUCUUUUAAAGUACUUUCAUUUAACAAAGCAAAUCAAUUAAAAAAAUAAGUAGUAAGUAAAUGGUAAUGCAGGUAGGCACUAGAGAGAUAAAGCAAAAAUUGCAAAAGUGGCACAAGAAUGACUGAGGGUUGAUAACUCUGCAAUGGAGGAACUAAACACAUUAAAUAAAACUGGGGGAGGUGCAGGUGGCGGCAGCUAGGUUUUAACUGACUGUCCAGCUUGGCUGUCCUGGUAGGCAGUCAACAGAGCAUGAUUUAAGUUGAUACAUGAAAUAAUGGUAGUUUUAGGCUUAGUAUUUAAAUGUAUGGAGAUGAACUAAUUAAGGCUGUCUGCUCCCAGGGAGAGGGAUUGGGGCCAAUGCUUUUUAUUAUAAACCCUAUGCUACUUGGUACUUUAAAAAUUAUUAUUAAUAUACUUUAUUUUUUAGAACAGUUUUAGAGUGAUGGAAAAAUUGAGCACUUGGUACAGGGAGUUACCUUAUACCUCCUCCCCUUCCCCUACUAUGAACAAGGUGACUCUGAGAAACUGUCAAAGCCCAGAGGAGCCUCAAGCACGACUAAUUGUAAUGUGUAUCCUGGAGGAGGUCCCAGGACAGAAGAAGGACAUUAGGUGAAAACUAAGGAAAACUAAAUAAAGUAUGGAUUUUAGUUAAUAACAGAUCAGUAUAGCUCAUUAACAGUAAAAAAUGCACCAUGCUACCAUAAAAUAUUAAUAAUAGAGGGCGCUGGCUGUAUAUUCCCCGGCUGUGGGAUAUACAGGAGCUCUCUGUGAGAGCUUUGCAGUUUUUCUGUAAGACGUUAAUGAGUGUUGGGGAGGAAGCCCACAGAGGUAAGCGUCCUUCUCAUCUCAUCGUAUCCGUGGUCAGUACUGGCACAUGACUUACCACAGUGAUGCUGGCCUUGACCACCUGGCAUAGGUCGUGUCUCUCAGGUUGCUGUCCUGAAAGAUUACUCCUUCCCCCUUUCCAUCCUGAACUCUUUCAAGGAUGUCACUCUGGGAAGCCCACACUUGAGGGGUGGGGUUCUAUCCUUGCUUUAGAAUGGAGUAGCUUCAUAAUUUAUUUGAAAUUAUUCUGUAUCAGAGACUUUUUCCUAUUUAUGAAUGUAUUCAAUCAUUUAUUGAUAUCAGUAUGGACUCAGACUCUCACCCAGGCUGGAGUGCAGUUAUGCAAUCAUAGGUCGCUGCAUCCUUGAACUCCUGGGCUCAAGUGAGCCUCCCACCUCAGUCUCCUGAGUGGCUGGGACUACAGGUGCCUGCCACAACACCCGGCUAGAUAUUUAUUUUAUACUUUGGGCUACUUGACAGUUUUUUUAUUGUGGUAAAAUGUAUGGAACAUAAUAUUUAUGAUUUUAACCAUUUAUUAUUUCAUUUUAAUUAAUUAAUUUGUUAAUAGAUAUGGGGUCUUGCUAUGUUGCCCAGGCUGAUCUCAAACUCCUGGGCUCAAGGGAUCCUACCACCUCGGCCUCCCAAAGUGCUGGGAUUACAGGCAUGAGCUGCUGUGCCCGGCCUGAUUUUAACCAGUUCAGAGGCAUUUAGUGAACUCACAGUAUUGCGUUACCAUGCCCACCAUCUAUCCACAGAACUGUUUCAUCUUCCCAAACUGAAGCUCUGUCCGCAAUCAACUCUAACUCCCCAUUCCCUCCCCAACCCCUAGCGACCACCUUUCUACUUUCUGGGCUUUUGGACUUUUGAAUCGUGUGACUACAUUAAUGAAGAUCUUGAUGUCGGUUGAUUUUUCCAGAAAACAAACUCUGGGGAGUGUCCUGGGGUGUGUUCUUGGGGACAGUGCCUCUGAGGGAGCAAAGGUAGCAGCAUCGGCAUAGCCCUCGGUGGACCCCGUGGGAACUCCGGAGCUGGGCUUUUGGGUCCCCACUUGGACCAGUCAUUCCAUGCCAGCUGCACCCACGGGGAAGUGGGGAGAGGCAGCUGUAUUCAGCUGGCAGCAGUUCCUGGAGAGGGACAUAGCCGAGAGCCAGGCCGCCAGCCCUGCUGCCACUGGGGACCAGGUCUCUGUCCUGGGGGGCUCUGGGUGCCACAGCGUCUGCCACAGUUCUCUCUGUGUGUGAUGGUCUGCAGUUUCGCUGCGACGUAUCCAGGUGUUGCUUUAGUUUUAUUUAUCAGGUUCGGGAUUUUUGCUUCUCCAUUUGGAGAAUUUAUAUUUUCUUUUUUUUUUU
rnacentral:lncRNA from 1 species